ensembl:snRNA U6 U6 spliceosomal RNA
GUGCUCACUUCAGCAGCACAUAUACUAAAAUUGGAAUGAUACAAAGAUUAGCAUGGCCCCUGCACAAGGAUGACACGCAAAUUCAUGAAGUGUUCCAUAUUUUU